UUUGGCGGAUUCGGUAUACUUUGUUGGUUUUUCGUAAAAAACUUAUAAAAGCUCUCAUACAUACCUAGGUACACAAUGUCCGUGCAUACGUUUCGGCAUCUGCUCGAGUUCGGCGAUAGUUCAAUAAAAUAUUAAUAUAAUAUUUACGGCAUAAAAUAUUUUGAAAGGUGAGACAUUAGCAAGCGGACUCAAAUAUUAAUUUAUUCUCCGGGAGUUUGGGACAUGGGUCUUGCAGUAGGGGACGUUGUGGACGCGGGUCAGCCGGCGCCGGCUGCGGUCCUCCGAUCAGGGACUUUCGUGCAUCUGUAGCUCUUGCUCCAUCACGUUGUUGUUUUGCUCCUCACGGGUCAGCACGAAAACUGGCUCGACGUUGUCAUCGAGGCUGUUGAACCUGACAAGAAAUAUAAUGUUUUAAACGAACAUCACAUUUACCUAUGCUAUAAUAUUUUCUAAAAAUCUAUGUGUCUGUAAAGAUCUGAUUUCUGUAUUGCAAAGCAAAAGGCGAAACUUUUUUCGAUAUGUACCUAAAUAUGAUAAUAUAUUCACAUACAGAUAACA